rnacentral:rRNA from 1 species
AUUGAACGCUGGCGGAAUGCUUUACACAUGCAAGUCGAACGGCAGCACGGGGGCAACCCUGGUGGCGAGUGGCGAACGGGUGAGUAAUACAUCGGAACGUGCCCAGUCGUGGGGGAUCACGUAGCGAAAGUUACGCUAAUACCGCAUACGAUCUACGGAUGAAAGCGGGGGAACGCAAGGCCUCGCGCUGUUGGAGCGGCCGAUGUCAGAUUAGGUAGUUGGUGAGGUAAAGGCUCACCAAGCCGACGAUCUGUAGCUGGUCUGAGAGGACGACCAGCCACACUGGUACUGAGACACGGCCCAAACUCCUACGGGAGGCAGCAGUGGGGAAUUUUGGACAAUGGGCGAAAGCCUGAUCCAGCCAUUCCGCGUGCAGGAUGAAGGCCCUCGGGUUGUAAACUGCUUUCGUACAGAACGAAAAGGUUUCUACUAGUACUAGGAGCUCAUGACGGUACUGUAAGAAUAAGCACCGGCUAACUACGUGCCAGCCGCCGCAGUAA